rnacentral:rRNA from 1 species
CAUGCAGUCGACGAUGAAGCCCAGCUUGCUGGGUGGAUUAGUGGCGAACGGGUGAGUAACACGUGAGUAACCUGCCCUUAACUCUGGGAUAAGCCUGGGAAACUGGGUCUAAUACCGGAUAGGAGCGUCCACCGCAUGGUGGGUGUUGGAAAGAUUUAUCGGUUUUGGAUGGACUCGCGGCCUAUCAGCUUGUUGGUGAGGUAAUGGCUCACCAAGGCGACGACGGGUAGCCGGCCUGAGAGGGUGACCGGCCACACUGGGACUGAGACACGGCCCAGACUCCUACGGGAGGCAGCAGUGGGGAAUAUUGCACAAUGGGCGCAAGCCUGAUGCAGCGACGCCGCGUGAGGGAUGACGGCCUUCGGGUUGUAAACCUCUUUCAGUAGGGAAGAAGCGAAAGUGACGGUACCUGCAGAAGAAGCACCGGCUAACUACGUGCCAGCAGCCGCGGUAAUACGUAGGGUGCGAGCGUUAUCCGGAAUUAUUGGGCGUAAAGAGCUCGUAGGCGGUUUGUCGCGUCUGUCGUGAAAGUCCGGGGCUUAACCCCGGAUCUGCGGUGGGUACGGGCAGACUAGAGUGCAGUAGGGGAGACUGGAAUUCCUGGUGUAGCGGUGGAAUGCGCAGAUAUCAGGAGGAACACCGAUGGCGAAGGCAGGUCUCUGGGCUUGUAACUGACGCUGAGGAGCGAAAGCAUGGGGAGCGAACAGGAUUAGAUACCCUGGUAGUCCAUGCCGUAAACGUUG